GAUGAACGCUGGCGGCGUGCCUAAUACAUGCAAGUCGAGCGAACGGACGAGAAGCUUGCUUCUCUGAUGUUAGCGGCGGACGGGUGAGUAACACGUGGAUAACCUACCUAUAAGACUGGGAUAACUUCGGGAAACCGGAGCUAAUACCGGAUAAUAUUUUGAACCGCAUGGUUCAAAAGUGAAAGACGGUCUUGCUGUCACUUAUAGAUGGAUCCGCGCUGCAUUAGCUAGUUGGUAAGGUAACGGCUUACCAAGGCAACGAUGCAUAGCCGACCUGAGAGGGUGAUCGGCCACACUGGAACUGAGACACGGUCCAGACUCCUACGGGAGGCAGCAGUAGGGAAUCUUCCGCAAUGGGCGAAAGCCUGACGGAGCAACGCCGCGUGAGUGAUGAAGGUCUUCGGAUCGUAAAACUCUGUUAUUAGGGAAGAACAUAUGUGUAAGUAACUGUGCACAUCUUGACGGUACCUAAUCAGAAAGCCACGGCUAACUACGUGCCAGCAGCCGCGGUAAUACGUAGGUGGCAAGCGUUAUCCGGGAUUAUUGAGCGUAAAGCGCGCGUAGGCGGUUUUUUAGUCUGAUGUGAAAGCCCACGGCUCAACCGUGGAGGGUCAUUGGAAACUGGAAAACUUGAGUGCAGAAGAGGAAAGUGGAAUUCCAUGUGUAGCGGUGAAAUGCGCAGAGAUAUGGAGGAACACCAGUGGCGAAGGCGACUUUCUGGUCUGUAACUGACGCUGAUGUGCGAAAGCGUGGGGAUCAAACAGGAUUAGAUACCCUGGUAGUCCACGCCGUAAACGAUGAGUGCUAAGUGUUAGGGGGUUUCCGCCCCUUAGUGCUGCAGCUAACGCAUUAAGCACUCCGCCUGGGGAGUACGACCGCAAGGUUGAAACUCAAAGGAAUUGACGGGGACCCGCACAAGCGGUGGAGCAUGUGGUUUAAUUCGAAGCAACGCGAAGAACCUUACCAAAUCUUGACAUCCUUUGACAACUCUAGAGAUAGAGCUUUCCCCUUCGGGGGACAAAGUGACAGGUGGUGCAUGGUUGUCGUCAGCUCGUGUCGUGAGAUGUUGGGUUAAGUCCCGCAACGAGCGCAACCCUUAAGCUUAGUUGCCAUCAUUAAGUUGGGCACUCUAAGUUGACUGCCGGUGACAAACCGGAGGAAGGUGGGGAUGACGUCAAAUCAUCAUGCCCCUUAUGAUUUGGGCUACACACGUGCUACAAUGGACAAUACGAAGGGCAGCGAAACCGCGAGGUCAAGCAAAUCCCAUAAAGUUGUUCUCAGUUCGGAUUGUAGUCUGCAACUCGACUACAUGAAGCUGGAAUCGCUAGUAAUCGUAGAUCAGCAUGCUACGGUGAAUACGUUCCCGGGUCU
rnacentral:rRNA from 1 species